AUUGAACGCUGGCGGCAUGCCUUACACAUGCAAGUCGAACGGUAACAGGUCUUCGGGCGCUGACGAGUGGCGAACGGGUGAGUAAUGCAUCGGAACGUGCCCAGUCGUGGGGGAUAACGUAGCGAAAGCUACGCUAAUACCGCAUACGAUCUAAGGAUGAAAGCGGGGGAUCGCAAGACCUCGCGCGAUUGGAGCGGCCGAUGGCAGAUUAGGUAGUUGGUGGGGUAAAGGCUCACCAAGCCGACGAUCUGUAGCUGGUCUGAGAGGACGACCAGCCACACUGGGACUGAGACCCGGCCCAGACUCCUACGGGAGGCAGCAGUGGGGAAUUUUGGACAAUGGACGCAAGUCUGAUCCAGCCAUUCCGCGUGCAGGAUGAAGGCCUUCGGGUUGUAAACUGCUUUUGUACAGAACGAAAAGGCUCUAGUUAAUACCUGGGGCUCAUGACGGUACUGUAAGAAUAAGCACCGGCUAACUACGUGCCAGCCGCCGCAGUAAUAC
rnacentral:rRNA from 1 species